AGGAAGAGGACGAGUUAACACAGUCGCUUGCCUGUUCGGUGGCUUACACAGCCGACCAACCCGGAAGCCUGGACUGUGAUCCAGUUCAUCUAGCCCAGAGUUGAGGACGCUGUCCCAUCCACUGACCUCGCCUCUGGUCCUGGCCUGCUCAGUGAUGUCAUCCCCUCGGCCCUUGGCUGCACCAGUCUGGGUCUG